GGUGGUGGAUUAGUGGCGAACGGGUGAGUAACACGUGGGUAAUCUGCCCUGCACUCUGGGAUAAGCCUUGGAAACGAGGUCUAAUACCGGAUAUGACACACGGAGGCAUCUCCUGUGUGUGGAAAGUUCCGGCGGUGCAGGAUGAACCCGCGGCCUAUCAGCUUGUUGGUGGGGUAGUGGCCUACCAAGGCGACGACGGGUAGCCGGCCUGAGAGGGUGACCGGCCACACUGGGACUGAGACACGGCCCAGACUCCUACGGGAGGCAGCAGUGGGGAAUCUUGCGCAAUGGGCGAAAGCCUGACGCAGCAACGCCGCGUGGGGGAUGACGGCCUUCGGGUUGUAAACCUCUUUCGACAGGGACGAAGCUUUCGGGUGACGGUACCUGUAGAAGAAGCACCGGCUAACUACGUGCCAGCAGCCGCGGUAAUACGUAGGGUGCGAGCGUUGUCCGGAUUUAUUGGGCGUAAAGAGCUCGUAGGCGGUUUGUCGCGUCGGCCGUGAAAACCUGCAGCUUAACUGUGGGCGUGCGGUCGAUACGGGCAGACUUGAGUUCGGCAGGGGAGACUGGAAUUCCUGGUGUAGCGGUGAAAUGCGCAGAUAUCAGGAGGAACACCGGUGGCGAAGGCGGGUCUCUGGGCCGAUACUGACGCUGAGGAGCGAAAGCAUGGGGAGCGAACAGGAUUAGAUACCCUGGUAGUCCAUGCCGUAA
rnacentral:rRNA from 1 species